UACGGAGGAUGCGAGCGUUAUCCGGAUUUAUUGGGUUUAAAGGGUGCGUAGGCGGGCUUUUAAGUCAGCGGUAAAAAUUCGGGGCUCAACCCCGUCCGGCCGUUGAAACUGGGGGCCUUGAGUGGGCGAGAAGAAGGCGGAAUGCGUGGUGUAGCGGUGAAGUGCAUAGAUAUCACGCAGAACCCCGAUUGCGAAGGCAGCCUUCCGGCGCCCUACUGACGCUGAGGCACGAAAGUGCGGGGAUCGAACAGG
rnacentral:rRNA from 1 species